UUAGCCUUAAACCUCAAUAAUUUGACAACAAAAUUAUUUGCCAGAGAACUACUAGCUACAGCUUAAAACUCAAAGGACUUGGCGGUACUUUAUAUCCAC
rnacentral:rRNA from 1 species